CUCACAUUCUGAGAGCAAUGGGAAUGGACUGGGGUGUCGGGGAGGGGGUCUGAGGGGUGUUGGUGGAAGCAAAAGUAUUCUCACAAAGGCACAGGUACUCAUGUGGCAGGGCCCACCCAUCACACACUCAUUGCCAGCCACAGGAGCCAUCUGCUGAGUGGGUAUUGAGUGCAAAGCAAGUACACAACCAGGAGACACAUUCUUAAAAAGCAUGGCCCUCAGGAACCUUGGUCUCUUCAGUGGCUCCAGCUCUUGUGACAGAGCUCUAUCGGUUUAGGGGCAUGGAAGGGUGGCUUAAACCCAACAGAGGACCACAGCUCUGCAUCAGCAUUCUGCUUCUUACAGGCUUCAGUAAUGGGGAAGAGUAUAGCAGAACCCCAGAGACCAAUUUUCCACUUCCAUUUACCAAGCCAAAUAGGAAGGCUGUGUCACAAGGAUGCUUGUCUUUCAUGAAAAAGUCUAACCACCACACUAACUACCCUUGAGAAGGCCCUCCUGAGAAAUAAACUGCAUCUUCGUUGAUGACAACUCAUGGUCAAACUUUUGCAAUGUUCCUAACAUUGCGCAUGGAGCAGAGCCACAAAAGUGGUUUUUGAAUAAUUGAACAUGACUGAGUAACUCGUCUAUGAAUGUGGCAAGUGGGACCUCUACUGUGGCAGAAACCCUGAGGCCUGAUG
rnacentral:lncRNA from 1 species